UCAUCUAUUUUGUUUGUAAUUUAUUAUUGAAACAUUCAAGUAGAAAAUACCAAAAACUGGAAAAUAUUGCUUGCACAUAAUUGUUGUUGUUAUUUAGCUAUGGGUCUGCAAGGAUUAAGUAGACCUGUGCUCAAAAGUAUUCAUGCUAUAACCAUUCUUGGAUUACAUUAUAACAUGUUUCUGUUUCUCUCUCCAAGAUGAAAGUGUGUAAUUUGAAAGAGAUUUGACUGACUUUCUGGCCGGUUGAAUGACAAUAUAGAAUUCCUUUGUUGGUUUAUGCACCAGUGCUUUUUUUUUUUUUUUUUUCUACCCCAGCAUUGUUAAACAAAAGGCUUUUUGAUUUGUUUGAGAAUGUUCUAAAAUUACUUUGAAACAUCAAUGUCAAGAUGCUUGGUAUAGUGACAGGGAGAUAUGUCUGUCUGGCAAUGACGAAAUUUUGUUACAGGUAUUGCAAUACAGACAUUAAAAUAGUUUACAGUUUUUUUCUUUGUGGGUUUUUCUUUGUUUUUUUUUUUUUAAAUAUUUAUUUCAUCAUUAUAGAAGAUGAAUUGAUAAAUUUGUUGUUUUUUAACUGAUCUGAAGCAUUCAAGCUAUCACCAUAUUGUCUUUUAUUCAAACAUUAUAUAUCUAGGACUAAAGACACUUCCUUUUUUUUUUUCUAAAUAGUAGAGUGUGAUUUGAGGGUAUUUGGUUGCUUUUCUUCCAGAUGAAAUAACCACGUAGCGGCUCAUUCACAAAGCUACACUUGCAAGCUGUGCUUUUUACAAAUAUUUAUUUCAUUAUUCUUGUAUGCAAAUGGAAUAUAUUGCAUUGAAGAGUUAUUUCAGCAUGCUGUUUAUUAAAAAGAGAAAAAAAAAAGUGCUUUGUUGUACUAAUAAGCAGUUGCCUACAGAGAUUGAAUUACUUUCUCUUAUGCAUUUCUUUCUAUGACAGCAAUUGUAUUGCUCCUGUAUAUGCUAAUGUUUGUUGGGUCAGUAUUUGCCCCAGGUCAGUGCCCAGUCAUGCAUAUCUGUACCCAUAACUUUUCUGUUUGUAUCCAUUCAGUCUUAUUUUUCUUUUAUUUUAUUCAAGUAAGCUUAGCUGCUAUUUCUAGCAGGUUGGGUAACAGGCUCAUUUGGUUUGACCUUGAUUCUAGUCAUACUCUACAGUAAUUCUAUUAUUAUCACUAAACUAUGUAACAUAUUUUACAAAUGCCUAUACAAAUAUUCUAUGACAAUUGUAUUAAUUUACUGACAUAUUUUGAAAGGAAAUAGUUGCAGAAAAGCUUUGUUUGUUUCCUUCAUACCCUUCCUUGAACUUCUAUAUAUAUAACAAACUGUUAUACACACACACAAUUAUGCAAAGCAAUGAUGAAAAAUAAACAAACUUUAGAUUAGUUCAAAUAUAUUUGGGGCAUAUUUCAACUUGUAAAGGCUUUUUCAUUGCAAGUCUGCACAGGGCAUUCUAAACUGACAAUAAUGUUCUCACACCUUUGUUACCUAAAGUAAGAAUUUCUUCCCCAUGGUUAGCUGUAUUAUAAAAGCCUUUUCAUGUUGAAAUAUGUCCCAAAUACAUUUGAACUGACCUAAAGUUUACUUAUGUAUAAAAUUCUUAAGCUGAACACUAAGAAGACCAGUCAUACAAUAAAGAGCUCAGUACAUUACAAUAUAGUUUAUAAUAUUUUUAUCUAUCAUAUGUUCUGUGGUGCCCACAUUUCAAAUGAUGAAAUUCUCUUCAGUGUUCCCUGAGAAGAACCAUGAAGUAUGAAACAUUGGUAGUGACAUAGGGUAUAUUUCAUAAAUAUUUCAGUUUGUCGUUAUUACUAACAAUGUUUUACUAAUAAUGCCUAAGGCUUGUCUGAAGAUGGGCUUGCUGGUUACUGUGAGGUAUCAAACUUUCCAAUUUGCUCAAUAAAUGGUAUCUUUACAGACGUUUUGUGUUCUCUCUUUCAGGCAAUAGUACGUAGUACAUACCCUAAUUACUCAGCAAAACUUCAAAGUUACUGUCAAUCAUUUCCUUGUAAAAAUUAAUGAUAUUCUAUUUAGAUGCAUUGAUGAUCAUUCAAUUAAUGUUUGACUGUUUCUUUUUAUAACUUUGCAUAAAAACAAAUAAGCCUAUAGAUACACACACACACACACUCAUACACACACACUCAUACGCACACACAGAGAGGCACACGUGAGUGUCAACUUUAAUGGUAGAAUGUCAUUUGUAAAAUGAAUUCUGGUUAAAAAUGUUGAUCUCUGUUAGUGUGAAACUUUAGGUGCCAGAAAGGCAACAAAUAUUCCAUCAGAAAGAAUUUUUCAUCCACUUUCCUGGUGUUGAGUACUCAUUCUCCCAGUUUGUUACUAGUAUAUAUGUGAUGUGCAUGUAUGUAUACACACACACACACACAUACGGAGGAAUAUCUUCUUUCUUGUAACCUAGGCAUAGUUGUUGCUGAAUGCUCUUCUGAAACAAUUAGAUGAGAUAUAUAACUUUAAUAUUAUUAUUAUUAUUAUUAAAAUGGAGAAAAUGGAAGUAGUGUUAGUGCUGUAUCUAAAUUGGGAUGUCUUAUUAAUGGGUUGAUGUUUCACCAAAGAAAUAUCUUUAUUAAUCUUUAAAUUGUAUGUGAUUGAUAGAUUAGUAAUGACAGAAGCAUCAGUGUAUAUAGUGGAAUAUUUUAACAUUUUAUAAUGAAUUAACGAAUAAAAUUAAAUGCUUUUGCCCCAGGUUUUUUGCCUGAAUGAACUGACCUAUUAUAAUUUUCUAAGGCAUUCCAAAAAGGACCACUCUUCUCUAUUUCAGGUAUCUAGAACUGUAUUAUACUUUGUGUCUUUUCCAUUUUUUUUAUUAUUCACUUUUUUUAUUAAGAUGGGUAAGAUGUGAUCUUAGGGAAAUUCAACUACAAAUUCUAGUCAGAUGUACAUAAUGGAAGUGCAGUAUAGAACUUUGGAAAUAGGCUGAGCAAACAUAAAAAAAAAAACAAUUGCUUACAAGAGAUAUAACAUAAGAAAGGUAACAGCUGGUAUGUGUUGGGAAUGAAUGUGGUGAUGUGUGGUGUGACAGAGGGAAAGAAAGAGGUUUAUUUUUCAGCUUGUAAAAAGUGAGAUUUACUAGGAUUUAUAUAAUGAUACUAUUGCUGUUUUGAAUAAUUGAUUUGUUACUAACUUUGUUUAAGCUACAUGGAUCCCAGCAUUUGCCACAUCACCAAGCUAAACAGCUGGGCACAUACACAUUUUUUCAUUUGGGUAUAGAUUGGGCUAUUUGGUUCAGAUGUUUGCUUAGCAGUCACAUGGUUGCAGGUUCAGUCCCACUGCACAACACCUUGAGAGAUGUGUCUUCACCAGAAUUUUUAGUGAGUAGAAUUUGGUUGGCAGAGUCUAUGCAGAAGCCCAUUUUAUAUAUAAUGUAUAUAUGUAUGUAUGUGUGUGUUUGUGUGUGUGUGUGUUGACAUAUAUUCACAUGUAAGUGUAUCUAUAUUUUGAUUCAGUGUUUACUAACAAUAAGAAAUAUUUUCUGACACAUAAGAGUCAAUCUUAGAAUGCCUGUAAAAAGCUUCAUAAUAUUUGGCAAUCAAGUUAUUUCAAAGUUAACUAGGCUGGUGCUCUUCAGGAUUUAGAGAGGGAGAGAGAGACCAUUUCUCUCUAUAUAACUAAAACCUGAACUAUGAUGAAAGAUCUUCAAAAUCACUUGGAUGGUACAUACACCUGACUUCUCAUGAGUACAAGACCAAAGAGAUUUGUGGACACAUUCCACCAAUCUCUACCAUUGUUCCUCAAAGCAGGGUAGGCUUUGCUAGCCACUGUUGUCUUGCUAACCAUUAUGCUAUGUAGGAUGUCAUAUUUUAGAGACUUCACCCUUCUUUAAUGUUAGAGACCCACCGCAUGAAAUGUAGGACCUAAAUAGAUAUAAAUUACAUGCGAUCUUCGUGAUGCUUCCAUAGUGUGACAGUUUUCAUAUAGCUUUACAGUUGAAUGUAAUCUUGGUAUUUCGUACUUGAAUUGUUUUUUAGUACUUUAUUUUAUCUUUCAUAAAAAAAAAAUUAAUUGUAAAUAUAGCAAUUCAUUUGUGUAAGCAAUAAUAGAAAGAUUAAAAAGCUAUUUCCACUACGAAUUAUGUACUUCUGUUGUAAGUGUAAAUGAUUUUUGAUUUUUUUUCUUUCAUAAUUUUUUUUUUUUUAUUAUUCCAGUGAUAUAUUUAGUUAUGAAAUUAUGAGUAAAUACUUAUUGUGUCUUUGACAAAUUCUGUUUACAUUUAAACUUAACAAAUGACAGCCUUUAGAAAAUGGAAAAUUUGUUCCUUUCCUAGGAACUGAAUUCAUUAAAGUGAAUGAAGAAUGUUAGUGAACAUAUAUGAAGGAUUUUGUUACAUAGUUUAACUAUUGAUUAACUGCAGCUAAAUAAUAGAAAACUGGGGUUUGUUGGAGUGGAGGGGUCUUUUUUCUUUAUAUCAUAACAGCUUUAUCAUAUGUUUAUUUUGUUCCCAGUUAUCUAUCUAUUUAUAACACACACACACACAUUAUAUAUAUAAAAUGUACUAGUAGAUGUAUGGUUUACUGUUGAGUUUAGAGCUCCAUGUAGAUUAUCAUCAUCCAAUUUGCUUCCAGUAUAGUGGUUUGGUAACUACUUAGUAGUAUUACUAGUUAUGAUAUACAGAGCAAAUGUAGGAGGAAUUACAAUAAACACAAGUUUAUAUCAUUUGUUUCUACAUACUUAAAGCAUCUUAUUACACCUGGAAUAUCCAAUGCAGAGUUCCAAAACUUUGAAACAUUCAUAGAAGCAAAUGCUAUAAUUCUCCUUCAACCUGGACAAAAGUGAGGGUAGAGAAGUUGAAUAUGUUUUUUUCACUCUAUCUUAAAACUUUGGCUAAUUUUAAGGCUGUAAAAUAAAAUAAUGUGAUUCCUAAACUUUUUUUAGUCACAGAAUACAUCUGAGCAAAUGAAAUUGUUUUGGCACACAUAGUAUUAAAACAAUUUAGUACUUUGUGUUAAAAUAUUUUUUAAAACUAUAUAUAUCAUUGAAACUUAUUAAGUAUUUUUUUAUUCAAUAUAUGGGCUUAGUUUAUGGUGGCAAGCUGGCAGAAUCGUUGGUACACCAGGCGAAGUGUUUAGUGGCAUUUGAUCCAUCUAUACACUCUCAGGUCAACUUUGCCUUUCAUCCUUCCAGGGUCAGUAAAAUAGCACUGGUGUCAUUGUAGUUGACUUAACCCCCUCCCCUGAAAUUACUGGCUUGGUGCCAAAAUUUGAAACCAAUGUAUAGACUUAGUUCUUAAGACAUUUAGAAUCUCACUUUCUAAAAAUAUAAUUUUACUAUUGGCAUCAUAAUUUAUGAACUUUGAAGAAUAUGAAUUUUUUUUUUUUCUUUUCUUUGGAAUAGUUUAACUGGAAGCAAGUAAAGUUAUAGAUAAUAGUGUGGUAAUUGGGCAUUAAGAAAUUUGGGGAUAGAAAAAUUUGAGGCUGCCAUGGAACAGACCACCUGUCAUGUUUACAGGAGAUGUGGGUUCAAGUCCUGCUGGCAGCUUUAUUUACAUGCUAUUAUGAAUAGCUUUAUUUGUUUCAAGUUAACCAUUCCAAAACAAGAAUUUCAUAAAAUUGUUUUCAUAACACACCUAGCUACCUUCUGAGGCAUGCUCAUGUACUGUGGCAUACCAUCUGGGGACUACUGUUGUAUAUUUAUUACUUCAAAAGCUUAAAAUACUACUUAGUUCUUCAAAUGAAAACUUUACCUCUGUCUUUCAGUCAUACUGAUUAUUCUACCCCUCUCUCUUCUUUAUUUGCUAUUGAUACCUUUAUUUUCAAUAUUUUCUAUUGUUAUCAUAUGUCUUUACUACUGUAAGGAAUACAGAAACUGAAGCUUUACAUCUUUUCUAGCUUUUCUGUUAGAAACAACUGUAUCUCAUGUCCUACUGACAUUAGCUCAUAUUUUAUUUCUUGAAAAGAAACUACAAUUUCUUUCAAAAUAUUUUUUUUUUUAAGAAAAACCAUUUAAAAAUAUUCCUGCAAAAAAUGUUUUUAUCUUUUCAUUUUCUGGUGUGUGGUGCAAAUCUAUUUUAUUAAAAACCUAAUAAAAGAACAAAAGCGGUUGUGAAUUAUUUGAGACUUGUACUACUAAUUGGAUAGAAAUACUUGGUUAAGUGGUCCAAGUAAAACGACAAAAAAAAUUUAAAAAAAAGAUAUAUAUUAUGAAAUGAAGUUCUUAUAUUUCCCAUAAAGUGUGAAGGAUAUUAUUGCAUGUAACGAAACAAAUACUAUUGCAGACAUUUGCUUUUUCAAGAAAAUUGAUCAUUUUAUAUAAUCAAACAUAUUGAAUAAAGAUUUCAAUUCUAUUCUUUCUUAAGUGGAAUUUGAUAUUUUACUUAAUAUUUUUCACUGACCUUGUAUGUUUUUAAAGAAAUUUCAAAAACAUUUAUCAGGAAAAAAAAAACAUUGCAUGCAUUACCAGAAUCUAAGACAUCUGGUUAAUUUCAUAUUGUUUUUUUUUAUUUGUUACAUAUUAUUAUUAUUAUUAUUAUUAUUAUUAUUAUUAUUAUUAUUGCAAUCAUUAUCAUCAUUGUCAUCUUUUGUCUUAUGCAGUAUGUUAUAAUUUCUACUGCAUUUAAAUUUUGUUUUUAAUUUGAUUUGCCACAUGAAUUAUUGGUAAUUAAGUUGUUGUUAAUCUUGGAUUGCUAUUAUUUUUUCCUGUGAUAGUUGUUAUAUUGUUGGCUGCCCUCCUUUUGAUAAUCUUUGUAACAGAUCUGUCUGUAUUUGUGUGAGAGAGUGUACAUAUCUAUAUGUGUGUGUGUAUAUGUGUUUGAAGACAUUGCUUAAUGGGCACUGGGCUCAUAAUCACAAGAUCAUGGUUUCAAUUCCUGGACUGGGCAUCGCAUGUGUUCUUGAACAAAACACUUCAUUUCACCUUGCUCCAAUCCACUCAACUACAAAUUGGUAACCUUGCAAUGGACUGGCAUUCCAUUCUGGGAGAAUAUUGACCUACCAACUUAACCAGCUGGGUGACAUUAUUCAAAAGCUAUAACAAUGCAUGGAAACACAUUGUGACCAAUGGUGUAUAACAGCAACCAAUAGCCUGGUCAAUGCAAUAAUAUAUAUAUAUAUAUAUAUAUAUAUAUAUAUAUGCUCAUACACACACACACCUACACACACAGAUAGAUGGAAUUGUUGCUAGCAUUUGUAUCAUUGGAAGUCUUUUAGAUAUUUGGAUUAAAAUUUUAAAAGAAACAAAAAACUUAGACUGGACAAUGCAAAUCUCUUCAGGCUUGAGAAAACUAAUUAAACUGGCUAAUGUUAUGGUAUUUGGGGAGGAUGGGAAAGGGGGAGGCUCAUUAUCUUUCAGAUCUACUUGUCUCUUUCCUUCUUUUUCACUGAGAAAUUUUUGUCAUGAAGUUGGUUAUGAUUUCUUUUCUACUUAAAACCUGGUUCCAUGUUUCAUUUAUGUAGUGCUGAGAGCAAUAACUGAGUGUGUCUUAUGGCAACAUACACCUCUUUACUUUUUAAGCUUUAGUUUCAUUGAAGUAAACCCUUUGUUCAGAGAUUUUGUAAUAACCAGA